UUCUUUCUUUUUUUUUUCUGAGAGCAUUUUCUAUCAUCACAGCUGGGCAACCAGAAGCUAGUCUAGCAAAUGGGAGUCAGGUUAAGAAGAGGGAUUCAACUAGCAGAUCACCAUUAGAGCAUGAGGCCUGAGAAGAUAUGGAGAACAAUGCUAAUCCCACCUCCUGGUGAUAAAGUCCAUGGAAUGGCUAGAUCUGGUGACCAUCCUCAGGAUCUCACCCAGAUUCUCAGGAAACAGAUCAAGCUAGCAAAAUGAUUCCUAACUAGAAGAAUGCAAAUCACUGCUAGAUGUAGCCCCAAUGUGUGUUCAAUUUAAUUCAACACAAAGGCUAUCAGAGUUGUUCAGUAAAAAGCAGACUCCUAAGCCACAUAAAUACACAAACAUACUCACAAAACCAUCUGCCUUACAGAUUACAACACAUUAAACAGAUUAGGAAAUAUUCUGAAAAAUCCAGGGCCUUGGCUGUUGACUUAAAUUACUGUAAAAUGGGAUAAACAGAUAUAUCAACAAGUCAGCAUGCUCGUAAGUCAUCUAAAAUCUAGUGCAAAGUUUAUAUUCACUUACCACAUUUUAACUUAGAAGACAGAUGCCUGGUGAAAAGGACAUUGGUCUGAGUUAGAGUUGGAUUCAAAUCCCAGAUUUUCCACUAUCUUUGUUUAAUUAACUACUUUAUGCCUAGUUCCUGAAAUGGGGCAAAAAUAAUCAUCUUGUUCAAUAUGCAUUUGGAGACUAUACAAAAAUCACCUACUUGGUGGAAAGUGAUCGAUAAGUCUAGGAAAUUUCUUUAACUCAAAGAAAGAUCCAGUUGACAAGCUUUUCUCCAAUAGGCAUUUGGCAAAAAGAAAAAUAUCAGUGACUCCUCAAUCUGUGAAUACAAUGACAGGUUAAAAAGUUACUUAUCUUUUUCUUUAUUUACUAUUUUGACUAUAAAAGUAUGUAUUUACACAGAAUAAUUUUAAAAUUUGAGUACCCUUUUCUUUUUUAUAAAUGUGAACAAAUUUUAUGGGUAAUGCCAGUAAACAAAUUCAAGCCUGAAGCACUAGCUAAUUGUAAUCUACAAUGUGUCUUUUACAAAAAUAGUUAAAUGUUAUUCUAGGAAUGUUUUAAAUUAAUUUGACAGUAGGAAGGUAGCAUGGUUUAAUAAAGACCUGGAUCCUGGUCAGGGAUCGACAACCACUCAGUCUAUUUUGAAGCCUUAGCAGCCCACAGUUCAAAAUUAAGGUGAGGCCCUUAAAAGGUAAAAUUCUACAACUGUAAUAAAAAACCAUCUUUCCACCAAACAGGAAUUAUACACACAAAUAUCCUUCAUGAUCUGCCACUCCAACUUUAUCUCUUGCUUCUCAUCCUACCCACCCUACAGUGUAGUAGUAUAUACUCCAUCCAUACUGAACAACAGGCAUAUGUUUUAUUGCACUUUGCUUUAUUGAGCUUCAGAAAGGUUGCCCUUUUUAGAAAUUGAAGGCAAGACCCCACACACAGACCAGUAAAAAGAUCAUGACUCGUUUUAUUGUGAUGCUCGCUUUAUUGUGGUGCUCUGGAACCAAACCAGCAAUAUUUCCGAGGUAUGCCCGUA